rnacentral:rRNA from 1 species
UACGUAGGGUGCAAGCGUUAAUCGGAAUUACUGGGCGUAAAGCGUGCGCAGGCGGUUUUGUAAGUCUGUCGUAAAAGCCCCGGGCUCAACCUGGGAAUUGCGAUGGAGACUGCAAGGCUUGAAUCUGGCAGAGGGGGGUAGAAUUCCACGUGUAGCAGUGAAAUGCGUAGAGAUGUGGAGGAACACCGAUGGCGAAGGCAGCCCCCUGGGUCAAGAUUGACGCUCAUGCACGAAAGCGUGGGGAGCAAACAGG